AUUCUGCCCAAGCGGGGAAGGAUGAGAAGCUUCGACCAAGGUUUGACUUGAGCGCCAGCGAGAGAGCGUUGCCGCAGGCAACGACCCGAAGGGCGAAGCGCUGAGUAAUCCUUCCCCCACCACCA
rnacentral:sRNA from 1 species